rnacentral:rRNA from 1 species
UUCUAUGGCCAUGCUACCCUAAACAAGCCCGAUCCCGUCUGAUCUCGGAAGUUAAGCAAGGUCAGGCUUGGUUAGUACUUGGAUUGGAGACCACCUAGGAAAACCAGGUGCUAUAGGCG